CGCACGCCGGCCCGUGGCGCCCCGCGAGAGCAGCCCCAGCGGGCCGCGACCCGUGUGUGCUCUCAUCCGUAAGGACUGCAAGACACCGAGAGGACCUUCCCUCGUCCCUGGGAGGCAGACGCGGACGCGGGAGACGUUGAAGCCCACCGACGCACACGCACGCUUCCGCCCCGAUCCCCGGAAGAUUUCACGGGGUCUUGAAACCGCGAGAGGACAAAGGAAGCGGUGAAUGAACAUUCCGAUGACUCCUGCAGGAGUGACAGAGGUGGUGGCUGUCCUUGCGAGGCAGAUGCUUUACGCCAAGAAGAGGGAAGCACUUUUUUAUUCGCACGCCCUUCUCCGGUGACGAGCAGCUAACACUAUAAGCUUUGUCUGGGGACAUCUGUGAAAUGCCGUGACAAAUGCGUCCCCGCGCCCCCGAGAGCUGUCCGAAAAUACAGCCCGAUGAGGUCGGACCCUGGCCAUGAGAGCAGCUCCCUGCAGCUCCGCCCCUCCCGAAAUAAGACUGAGCAGUUUAUCUUGGAAUUGCUGAGAUGUCUUACUUUCAGAACAUUUGAAUUACAUAUUACUCAUUGUCCAGGGGUAAUUUUUGUGGUGUGGGAGUUUUAACUUACUUAUUUAGAAUAUAGCAAACAAAGUCUGUAUUAAAACCGUAUUUGUAACUGCCCACAAAGACUGGACAACCACAUUCUAAAAUCAUUAGCAAUGUUACUCGGCUUACAGAGUCGUGUCUCUCUCAUAUUUUUAAGGCAAAAAUCUUUCAUUCACUUGGAAAGGAAAAUGCUUGUUAUUGUCUCUCUAGGCUUUGCAAUUCAUGUUUCCUUCCUGUAUAGAUUUAGCUAAAGAUACAACACAUUUGAUUUUUAAGGAAUAAUAAAAAUAUGACACUUGCAAGUUUUUAAACUUGGGCUUGUUUACAAAGGUUUUCAAUGUUUUGCAAUAUAGUGUUUCUGCUGUAUCCAGUCUGAACA